AGAGUUUGAUCCUGGCUCAGAUUGAACGCUGGCGGCAGGCCUAACACAUGCAAGUCGAGCGGAUGAAGAGAGCUUGCUCUCUGAUUCAGCGGCGGACGGGUGAGUAAUGCCUAGGAAUCUGCCUGGUAGUGGGGGACAACGUCUCGAAAGGGACGCUAAUACCGCAUACGUCCUACGGGAGAAAGCAGGGGACCUUCGGGCCUUGCGCUAUCAGAUGAGCCUAGGUCGGAUUAGCUAGUUGGUGAGGUAAUGGCUCACCAAGGCGACGAUCCGUAACUGGUCUGAGAGGAUGAUCAGUCACACUGGAACUGAGACACGGUCCAGACUCCUACGGGAGGCAGCAGUGGGGAAUAUUGGACAAUGGGCGAAAGCCUGAUCCAGCCAUGCCGCGUGUGUGAAGAAGGUCUUCGGAUUGUAAAGCACUUUAAGUUGGGAGGAAGGGCAGUAAGCGAAUACCUUGCUGUUUUGACGUUACCGACAGAAUAAGCACCGGCUAACUCUGUGCCAG
rnacentral:rRNA from 1 species